rnacentral:misc_RNA from 1 species
UACGAAGGUCCCGAGCGUUGUUCGGAAUCACUGGGCGUAAAGGGAGCGUAGGCGGCGUGGUAAGUCAGAUGUGAAAUCCCGGGGCUCAACCCCGGAACUGCAUCCGAUACUGCCGUGCUAGAGGAUUGGAGAGGUAGCUGGAAUUCACGGUGUAGCAGUGAAAUGCGUAGAUAUCGUGAGGAACACUCGUGGCGAAAGCGAGCUACUGGACAACUCCUGACGCUGAGGCUCGAAGGCCAGGGUAGCGAAAGGG